rnacentral:rRNA from 1 species
AUUGAACGCUGGCGGCGUGCCUAACACAUACAAGUCGAACGAAGCUCCUGGAAUUGAGUUUUCGGACAAGAGGAAGGGAUGACUUAGUGGCGGACGGGUGAGUAAUGCGUGAGCAACCUGCCUUUCAGAGGGGGACAACAGUUGGAAACGACUGCUAAUACCGCAUAACGUAUAUUGAUGGCAUCAUCGGUAUACCAAGAUUUUAUCGCUGAAAGAUGGGCUCACGUCUGAUUAGCUAGUGGGUGAGGUAACGGCUCACCAAGGCUGCGAUCAGUAGCCGGACUGAGAGGUCGAACGGCCACAUUGGGACCGAGAUACGGCCCAGACUCCUACGGGAGGCAGCAGUGGGGAAUAUUGGGCAAUGGGCGCAAGCCUGACCCAGCAACGCCGCGUGAAGGAAGAAGGCUUUCGGGUUGUAAACUUCUUUUGGCAGGGACGAAAAAAAUGACGGUACCUGCAGAAUAAGCUCCGGCUAACUACGUGCCAGCAGCCGCGGUAA